AGAAUCGGACAGUCGAGCAAUUAUUUUGUUAGGAAAGUCCAUGCUGACACAUUCUGUGAUGAAUGUAAAUGUUUAUGCUAGGGGAAGCGAUAACCCUAGGUACUUAAAUUUAAUUUUAAGUAACGGCGGAAAAAUAGAUGUAAAAGGCUAAAGUAUCCAUAAAGUGCCACAGAGACGAGUUUUAAGGAAUACUUAAAAAUGAAACGUUGGUAAACCCCUUAAGUCAGAAACCCAAAUUUUGGUAGGGGAGUCAUAUUUUAAGAAUAAGAAUUAAAAUAUGGUCAGAAAUGAAGAUAGAUGACUGUCUACUACAGAACAUGGCUUAUAGAU
rnacentral:RNase_P_RNA from 1 species